UGGGGAAUUUUGGACAAUGGGCGCAAGCCUGAUCCAGCCAUGCCGCGUGCAGGAUGAAGGCCUUCGGGUUGUAAACUGCUUUUGUACGGAACGAAAAGGUUUGGCCUAAUAAGCUGAGCUCAUGACGUUACCGUAAGAAUAAGCACCGGCUAACUACGUGCCAGCAGCCGCGGUAAUACGUAGGGUGCGAGCGUUAAUCGGAAUUACUGGGCGUAAAGCGUGCGCAGGCGGUUAUGUAAGACAGAGGUGAAAUCCCCGGGCUCAACCGGGGAACUGCAUUUGGGACUGCAUAGCUGGAGUGCGGCAGAGGGGGAUGGAAUUCCGCGUGUAGCAGUGAAAUGCGUAGAUAUGCGGAGGAACACCGAUGGCGAAGGCAAUCCCCUGGGCCUGCACUGACGCUCAUGCACGAAAGCGUGGGGAGCAAACA
rnacentral:rRNA from 1 species